UAGGGAAUCUUCGGCAAUGGACGAAAGUCUGACCGAGCAACGCCGCGUGAGUGAAGAAGGUUUUCGGAUCGUAAAACUCUGUUGUUAGAGAAGAACAAGGACGUUAGUAACUGAACGUCCCCUGACGGUAUCUAACCAGAAAGCCACGGCUAACUACGUGCCAGCAGCCGCGGUAAUACGUAGGUGGCAAGCGUUAUCCGGAUUUAUUGUGCGUAAAGCGAGCGCAGGCGGUUUCUUAAGUCUGAUGUGAAAGCCCCCGGCUCAACCGGGGAGGGUCAUUGGAAACUGGGAGACUUGAGUGCAGAAGAAGAGAGUGGAAUUCCAUGUGUAGCGGUGAAUUGCGUAGAUAUAUGGAGGAACACCAGUGGCGAAGGCGGCUCUCUGGUCUGUAACAGACGCUGAGGCUCGAAAGCGUGGGGAGCAAACAGG
rnacentral:rRNA from 1 species